UACAGAGGUCCCGAGCGUUGUUCGGAUUCAUUGGGCGUAAAGGGUGCGUAGGCGGCGGGGCAAGUCUGAUGUGAAAUCCUGGGGCUCAACCUCAGAACUGCAUUGGAUACUGCCUUGCUAGAGUACUGGAGAGGGAACUGGAAUUUACGGUGUAGCAGUGAAAUGCGUAGAGAUCGUAAGGAAGGCCAGUGGCGAAGGCGAGUUCCUGGACAGUUACUGACGCUGAGGAGCGAAAGCGUGGGGAGCGAACAGG
rnacentral:rRNA from 1 species